UGCCAGACCGUUAGCUUCUGAUUAGACCGUGGGAGCACACAUCCCGGUCCCAACUGCCUCAGACAGGGAUUCUUAUACCCUCAGGGCCUUUCCAGUCUAAGAUUGUCCCGUUGAGUCUCUUCUCCCUGGGAGUCCUGCUGUCUUGGGAGUCUGGACACAUAGACAUUAUACAUGCUCCCAGCAGACCUGGCAAGCCCUCAGCAUGAGGAAUCUGCUGGUGGACAUUUGUAAGGACGUGUAUUGAUAUUGACAUUGGAGGGUCUCAGGAGUAUUAAACAGACAAUAUACAAUUUUGA